CCCCGGUGUGAUGGAGGGGCUGUCCCCGGUGUGAUGGAGGGGCUGUCCCCGGUGUGAGGGGAGGGCUGUCCCUGCUAUGAUGGGGGGUUUGUCCCCGCUGUGAAGGGGGGUCUUCUCCCAGUGUGAGGGGGGUCUGUGCCGGCAGGGCUGGGAGGCAGCAGCUGCUCCGCACCCACCUGUGCACAAGUGCCCUGUGGCCCUCCGGACUCGCAGCAUCCAGAACAGAAUUUUAUAUAUAGAGACAGAUAUAUCUAUAAUACCCAGACCAUAUUAAAAGUGCUUCUCAGGUUCUCAACUGCUAAAUUAGCGCAUCAGGAAUUAGACCGACAGGUGAUAACAUCUGCUUCUGCUGGCUCCUGCUGGUUUCUGUGGCUCCCUGGCAGUACCAAGGCACGAGAAGGGCUGGACUUUGCUGCACGGACUUUUCAGAACAGGAGGAGGAAUUACCCAGGUGUAAAACCCCACGCAGGUGAUUUCGUAUGCCACACUGAUUGUGGAGCUUAAGUUUAAGCAAAAUGUUUUAAUACACAGAAUGUAUUGAUGAAAGUGAUCGGAUUUCUCUUCCUAAGCAUUUAUUUUUCUGUUGUCAUCAGUGAGUAGAGGGAAAUACUAAUAAAAAUGCUGUUCUAGUGAAGGAUCAU